CCUUUCAUUCUGUAUUUUUGUGCCUUUUCUAUUUUCUGCAGGCCUGUGGGCCCAGCUGGGCACCGUUGGCAGCUGAACUCGUAGAUUUGCUUAAAACCAAACCCUGCACCAAAAUCAAGCUUCGAACCCAAACCCUGAGAUCUGCACACCUGGGAUUCACUCCAGCACCGUCCCAUGGGAGAAGCAGCUCCUGCACCCAGCACCAGGGCUCAGGCACAGCCCUGCACCAGUUUAUUUCCUUGCUGGGGGUGGCGGGAGCUCCAGCACCCAGCCAGCACACUUCUAACCAGGUGAAAUCCUUCCCUUGGAGAAAGUGGGAGGCAUUUCCACACGUCAGGAGCCCCAGCGAAACAGUGAACUGAAUGGAUUCUCAGAACAAAAAGGAAUCCUUCUGAGUGACGCUGUGGCACUUGGGGACGUGGUCAGGGUGCACGGCUGGGGAUGGGCUGCUGCUUCGUGACUCCGUGAUGACAAAACCCAGCUGAAGUCACACAGCCGACCCCAGGCACAUCCCUGAGCUCUGCCCUCUCAACAGCACUGCUGCUCGGCGCUGAGUGCUGCCCUGCUUCCGAGCAGCCCGAGCCGGAACGGAGACAUUUUUCCUCUUUAAGAACCAAGGCAUAAAAUAAAUACAACCCACCGUCCUCUGCUUUUUCACCCAUUAAGUGCUGCCCUCCUUCACAGGGCCGUAUGAAGCAGCCCUGGGCCGGGUGGAGCGCUGAUGCUCCUCAUUCCUCGCCCCGCUGUCCUCGUGCCUCACUGCUCGCCAUAAAUCACCCGCAGCGCAGGAAAGUGGGGGUUAACAAGGCAUGACUCUGCCCUCCAUCUCCCUGUCCCAGGGCCCAGGAAGUGAGGGAUGGCUGCGAUUUGGCUGCAGAAGGAAGAAAAGGGGGAAAAAAAGGGAUGUGGGCAGCUGGGAGGUCGUGGGAUCUCAAAGUGGGGCUGCUGCAUCUCAGUGCAAGCAGCGGGGAGGGCUGAGGGAUGUGGCCAUGGAUGGGUACCCGGGCAGGAGGCUGAGCCACGGCAGGGCAGUUAUGGCAGGAAAUGGGGCAUGGUCUUCUUUUCAGUCACUUAGAAAAGCCCUCCUGGCCUGAUACACAAAUCUUGUUCUUCUUUUUCAAGCCGCCUAUAGACACAGAGAUCAGAUAUAUGUUCCUACUGCUUUUAUUAUCAAACGAGCCAGAAUUAGUUCAGAUUUUACUUGGAAUUCAAAGAAGAAAAUGUUUCCUUCCCGACAAUUUUAUAUAUUUAUCCCUUUGGCUAAAGCCUUUGAUUCUGAAAAGUGCAAUUAGCAGUGGCGGCUGUGCAGUUUGACUUCUAACCAGAGAAACUCCCCGUGCAAAUGAAAAGCAGAGCUGCAAUGAAACGCAACGUUUCCUUUUGCUGUCUGUAAUUUAUUCCGACCGGCCGACACCUGAGCCAGCAUGCAGGCAACACGCUCAGGAGAAUAUCACAGUAAUGGUGUCCUUGUCAUCGCAGCCCUCCGAGCACCAACAGAAAGCAAGAGCAAGUAGUGCAUAGUGGGGACUCCUACAAUUGCAGCCCUGUUUAAGGAGAGGCUUCUUGCACCCCAGAGCUGCGGGUGGGCAGGCUGCUACCUGCUCUGUGUUGCUCCAUUUACCCGAGUCCCCAUCCUGCCCGCUGCUGGAGUGAAUGCAUGGAGAGGGGAGCGUGCGUGCACUGGGGAAGCGAUGGGAAAGGUCAGCCAGCAUGAUUGAACGCUCCCUCCUGGCCUUACCUCCAGGAAUUUAUUGAACAACUUCAGAGCCUGCAGCUGUGGUGGGAUCUCCCUGCAGGCAGUGUCCUCAGGUUGUUCUCUGUCAGCGCUGUCAGCUUUAUUUGCAAUCUCUACAAAUAGGCUGGGGCCGCAUCGCAGCCCCUCGUGGCGCUCAGUGAGCGCCGACCCCUCACACCUGAGCUGGGGCAACGUGUGCAGCGCUCCUCCCACCGAGCUCCCCGUGCUGUCAGCAGCCCCCAGCAGCAGAUGUGGGCGGUGACCCAGCACGGCUGGAGGGGGAAACGUGCACCAACCUGCCGUCGGCGCCCGCUGUGCCCGCAGCCCAUCCUUGCCCACCUCCCCUCCGCCGCUAACCCAACUCCGACGUUCGCCAGGCGCUGCGCACCCAUAGGCACGUACACAUGUGCACGCGUGCUCUCACACAUGCACACACUUGAGCACAUGCACAGCUCCAGGUGCUGCUGCGUCCUACUGCUCCUCCAGCCCUGCAGCCUGCAGGCAAAGCUGUGCUCCCAGGGGCUGCCUGAGCACGGAACCCGGAUCCUGCUGCAUGAAUGGAACAGCGUAACAGCAGCACGAGGAGGAGACAGAGAUAAAAGGAAGGUGGCAAGGAAGGAAACCUGUUGUUCCUUAAUUGCACAGGAGGAGGUGGGGGAAGGCAGCUGACACUGCCUGCAGUGCGGUGCACUGAUGCUGGGACUGAUCUCUGCCUCCCUCUGCUCCAGCAGUGUCUGGGAGCUGUGCCUGGUUGGCUUCCAGGCAGUGUCCUUUGGCAGGGGGAAGGAGCAGAAAAAUCAAAAUCAGAGCCCUGCAUGCAUGCGUGGUGCUCCCUUGUGCAUGUUGGAGAAAAGGCCUGUAGGCAGAGAAGUCCCUUUAAAAGCUGUGUAUCCCUUUAGGCUGAUAAAAGAGCUAAGGUUGGGUCUGCUGCUUGGGCUGUCGCCAGGCUGAGAAACAGAAAACAGACAAACAUUUUGGGUCGAGUUCACAUCAACACCCAUCCUCAGCCUUGUCAUUCCUACUCAGUAAAUACGCAG